ACCUACGGGACGCAGCAGUGAGGAAUAUUGGUCAAUGGGCGCGAGCCUGAACCAGCCAAGUCGCGUGAGGGAUGACGGCCCUACGGGUUGUAAACCUCUUUUGUCGGGGAGCAAAUUCCGUUACGUGUAACGGAGUCGAGAGUACCCGAAGAAAAAGCAUCGGCUAACUCCGUGCCAGCAGCCGCGGUAAUACGGAGGAUGCGAGCGUUAUCCGGAUUUAUUGGGUUUAAAGGGUGCGUAGGCGGACUGUCAAGUCAGCGGUAAAAUGUCCGGGCGCAACCCGGGCCGGCCGUUG
rnacentral:rRNA from 1 species